rnacentral:tRNA from 1 species
AGUCGCGUGGUCUAAUGGUUAUGAUUUCUCGUUCACAUUUGCCUGUGAACAGCUUGUUCUUCCGAGAAGGUUCCCGGUUCGAUCCCGGGCGCGACUA